rnacentral:rRNA from 1 species
UGAGGAAUAUUGGUCAAUGGGGGCAACCCUGAACCAGCCAAGUCGCGUGAAGGAUGAAGGUCUUAUGGAUUGUAAACUUCUUUUACACGGGAAUAAAGUGGGGGACGUGUCCCCCUUUGCAUGUACCGUGUGAAUAAGGAUCGGCUAACUCCGUGCCAGCAGCCGCGGUAAUACGGAGGAUCCGAGCGUUAUCCGGAUUUAUUGGGUUUAAAGGGUGCGCAGGCGGGAUGUUAAGUCGGGGUGAAAUUUUGCAGCUCAACUGUAAAAGUGCCUUCGAUACUGGCCUCCUUGAGUGUGGAUGAAGUAGGCGGAAUUUGUGGUGUAGCGGUGAAAUGCUUAGAUAUCACGAGGAACUCCGAUUGCGCAGGCAGCUUACUAAGCCACAACUGACGCUCAUGCACGAAGGCGUGGGGAUCAAACA